ensembl:piRNA 21ur-9878 ncRNA
UCUGACACAGAAGUUAGAAUA